UGGGGAAUAUUGCACAAUGGGCGCAAGCCUGAUGCAGCCAUGCCGCGUGUGUGAAGAAGGCCUUCGGGUUGUAAAGCACUUUCAGCGAGGAGGAAGGUGGUGAACUUAAUACGUUCAUCAAUUGACGUUACUCGCAGAAGAAGCACCGGCUAACUCCGUGCCAGCAGCUGCGGUAAUACGGAGGGUGCAAGCGUUAGUCGGAAUUACUGGGCGUAAAGCGCACGCAGGCGGUUUGUUAAGUCAGAUGUGAAAUCCCCGGGCUCAACCUGGGAACUGCAUUUGAAACUGGCAAGCUAGAGUCUCGUAGAGGGGGGUAGAAUUCCAGGUGUAGCGGUGAAAUGCGUAGAGAUCUGGAGGAAUACCGGUGGCGAAGGCGGCCCCCUGGACGAAGACUGACGCUCAGGUGCGAAAGCGUGGGGAGCAAAACAGGAUUAGAUACCCUGGUAGUCCACGCUGUAAACGAUGUCGAUUUGGAGGUUGUGCCCUUGAGGCGUGGCUUCCGGAGCUAACGCGUUAAAUCGACCGCCUGGGGAGUACGGCCGCAAGGUUAAAACUCAAAUGAAUUGACGGGGUCAUAGCUGUUUCCUG
rnacentral:rRNA from 1 species